rnacentral:lncRNA from 1 species
AUGCUGUGCGCUGUCUCUCGGCUCCGCGCCGCUCGGCCGGGAGCAGCAGCCGGCGGGUGGCGCGCCGGGCCGGCGGGAGGAGCGGCGUGGGCGGGGAGGUGCCGGCGGGCUCCGGCCGGGCCGCACCGCGCGGGGAGGACGCGCGCGCUCAUCCGCCGGGACACGGGAGCACCGGGCGGGCCGGCUCCGCCGCGCCGGGGUGGGUGUCGAGGCGCCCGCGAGCUCCGCGCCCCGCACGGCUCGUCCCGUCCCGUCCCGUCCCGCUGCCCGACGGCACAGCCGCCCCGAGGCCGGUCCCGCGGCACAGACGCCGGGCGCGCUCGGGUCCGGCUGACGCCCCGCAGGACGAACCGGGCGGGGGAGACGCGCUGCUCACGCCCCGCAGUCCCGGCCCGCGCCCCGCACUCACCGGCUGCCGCUCGGAGGGUCCGGCCGCCACGCGCAUCCCCGGGCAGCGAUGGGCCGGCGGGGCGGGCGGGAGUGUUAGUGUGGCUGGGCGGCGGGCGGCCGGCGGGGCUCAACGCCCGUCCCUCCCGCGGGGCGCCGGCAUCGGCGGGACAUCAAAGCCCGGGGCGCUCCCCCGCCGCCGCCGGAGCCGAACCGCCCGCGGUCAGAGCGGCCGUCGCGAGUCCGAGCGGCUCUUGGGUGCCCCGAAGGCUCCUUCCUCUUUGCGAUCGUAAAAAUGCGACGGGGCGGGAAACAAACAAACAACCCCCCCACCCCCCCGCCCCGACAGCGGCGAACCGCGCUCUCCACCUCGCGGAGCUGCCCCCGGCGCUCAGCUGGAGGGGAGGGAAGGCGCCGUGCCCCGGGGCGGGCGGUGCGACGGGAGCCGCGGCCGGCGGGGCUGCCCCAUGGUCGGCGGCACCGCGGGGCGGCGGCCGGGAGGGAGCGGAGACCUGCAGGGGCUGCGCCUUUUUUCCCGGUCGGUUCCGGAGAGACGGGGAUGAUGCACAGAGAAGGGCAGCGGCUGCAUGUCUGCAGCGCCUCUUGCCGUGCAGCCUCAUUGCCUUUGCCGAAUUGAUGCUGUCACGUACCCUCUGCGAGAUCUUAUGUCCUCAUUCACUUUCCUCUCACAAGAAAGGCAGCUGCAACUUCUCGCACGAAGAGACAGCCCUGAGCCAUCACCAGAUUUACCAGCCAACCAUAACAGAAAGAUACUCCUUUCAUUCUUACUGA